rnacentral:rRNA from 1 species
GACGAACGCUGGCGGCGCGCUUAACACAUGCAAGUCGAACGGAAAGGCCUGCUUUCCCUUGUGGAUUGCGGGUACUCGAGUGGCGAACGGGUGAGUAACACGUGAGUGAUCUGCCCCCAACUUGGGUAUAAGCCUGGGAAACUGGGUCUAAUUCCCGAUAGGACUGCAGGGUGGUGCCUGUGGUGGAAAACGAUUUUCUAGUGGUUGGGGAUGAGCUCGCGGCCUAUCAGCUUGUUGGUGGGGUAAUGGCCUACCAAGGCGGCGACGGGUAGCCGGCCUGAGAGGGUGGACGGCCACAUUGGGACUGAGAUACGGCCCAGACUCCUACGGGAGGCAGCAGUGGGGAAUAUUGCACAAUGGGCGGAAGCCUGAUGCAGCGACGCCGCGUGGGGGAUGACGGCCUUCGGGGUGUAAACUCCUUUCGACCGCGAGGAAGCCACCUGGUGGGAAGGGUGGUGACGGUAGUGGUAGAAGAAGCACCGGCUAACUACGU